GACGGAUGGGCAUGCGUGACAUUAGCUUGUUGGCGGGGUAACGGCCCACCAAGGCGACGAUGUCUAGGGGUUCUGAGAGGAAGGUCCCCCACACUGGUACUGAGACACGGACCAGACUCCUACGGGAGGCAGCAGUGAGGAAUAUUGGUCAAUGGGCGAGAGCCUGAACCAGCCAAGUCGCGUGAAGGAUGACGGCCCUACGGGUUGUAAACUUCUUUUGUCAGGGAGCAAUUGGGUCCACGUGUGGGCUUAGCGAGAGUACCUGAAGAAAAAGCAUCGGCUAACUCCGUGCCAGCAGCCGCGGUAAUACGGAGGAUGCGAGCGUUAUCCGGAUUUAUUGGGUUUAAAGGGUGCGUAGGCGGAAUAUCAAGUCAGCGGUAAAAAUUCGGGGCUCAACCCCGUCGUGCCGUUGAAACUGAUGUUCUUGAGUGGGCGAGAAGUAUGCGGAAUGCGUGGUGUAGCGGUGAAAUGCAUAGAUAUCACGCAGAACUCCGAUUGCGAAGGCAGCAUACCGGCGCCCAACUGACGCUGAAGCACGAAAGCGUGGGUAUCGAACAGGAUUAGAUACCCUGGUAGUCCACGCAGUAAACGAUGAAUGCUAAUUGUCCGGAGGGAUUGACCUCUGGGUGAU
rnacentral:rRNA from 1 species